rnacentral:misc_RNA from 1 species
AACUUUUGACAACGGAUCUCUUGGUUCUCGCAUCGAUGAAGAACGCAGCGAAAUGCGAUAAGUAAUGUGAAUUGCAGAUUUUCGUGAAUCAUUGAAUCUUUGAACGCACAUUGCGCCCUCUGGUAUUCCGGAGGGCAUGCCUGUUUGAGCGUCAUUUCCUUCUCAUACCCCUAGGGUUUGGUGAUGAGUGAUACUUCGCAAGAAGUUCAUUUGAAAUGAAUUGGCAUGAGUUUUUGUUAUAAUUAACAGUUUGUUUAUUCAAUGUAUUAGGUUUUACCAUCGUUGAUUGACGGCUGACGAGUAUAAUGAAGUAUGGCUCUGCCUAACAAACUUUAUCAUAAAGUUUGACCUCAAAUCAGGUAGGAUUACCCGCUGAACUUAAGCAUAUCAAUAAGCGGAGGCU